AUGGCGCCGGCUUCGGCUCCGGCUUUGGACGUCGAGGGCGAGGUCGGCGGCGGCAACAGCCAGAACGCGCUGAAGUCCGAAGCCGACGGGGAGCGAUCCGUCGCUCCGGGAGGCGGUUCUGUGCCCGGUGAAUUCCGCUCCGAUGACGCGGCCACAGCGGUUUGUGAGGACGGUAUCGACUCCUCAGAUGACCCUGCCCUGGCCAUGGAUGUCAACGGCAAGGGCGACGGGGGCAAGGAGAAUCUGGGCAAGGUGCGGGUGAAAUCCGAGCCCGAGCACUGCGAGGGCGAAGGCGCCGUUCUCGCCCCUUGCACCCGGCCUUUGGGUGCCGAUUUUGUGGGGAUAGCUUCCUCCUCCUCCUAUAAACUGCCCAUGGCGAGUCCGGAGGACUCGACUGACCAGCGAGGAGGGGAUAGCACGGAGUGCUCGAGCUCGUUCGCAGACUCCCUUUGUGAGACUGGUGAUGAGGCAGGCAAUGGUGACCUGGAAGUGAAUUCUCCCUUUUCAGCUCAUGCUAAUGGCGGUCAAGCUUCCGCGAUGCCCAGAAAGAAAAAGGUAACUGCCGAGUGGAGGAAUGCCGUCCGCCCAAUGCUGUGGAGAUGUGAGUGGUUAGAGCUGCGCAUGAAGGAUCUUUUAUCGCAAGUAUCAAAGUAUGACAGCCAGCUUGCUCUCAUCGAGCAGGAAAAAGAAUCGCAGAGAGCAACAAGCAAGACAAAUGGUUGUAGGCAAGAAUCUGGGAAGAACUGCAGAGACCAUGAAAAUAUUAGCAUGGAGAGGAGAAAGCGCAAAAGACAUGAAGACACUGUGGAUACAUCAUUGUACCUCAAGAAGCACAAGAUAUUAUCAUACUUCUUUGAUAAACAAAACAAGGGAGCUGAUGCAGAUGGCCUCUUAAUUGAUGAUGAUAGUCAUGGUCAAGUUGGGGAUGAUACUAGACGCCGCCUCGAAAUUGUUGGUUUGCCUGCGUCCAAGGAAUAUGAUAUGGCUUCCAACCAAUUUGUGUUACAAAAAGUUCUCAUGAAAAUUGGUGGUAUCCAGUCUCGAGUUCAUCGUCUACAAGAGCGUCUCAGCAAGGCUCGCUCUAAACAAGCAAGGUUGGCAUCUUUCAUGGAUCAUGACCAGGUCAAGGUGGCUGAGAAGAGGCAAAGGAUACAAAAACGUGCAUUCUCUCCUGAGAAUGAUCGAUAUGCUAAGCCACAGAAAAAGAAGAAGCUAAACAUUUUGCUGGAGCAGGAGGAUAGACCAACUCUGUCAGUAAAACCCACAUUGUCUGAGAGGGCAACUGAUUGUCUAAUAGAAGAUCCACAGGGCAAUGGUGAAGAAAAAGCUCUAGAGAGGAGCCAGGCACAUAAGAAAGACAUCACAGCGGACCUACUUCUAGCUGUUGAAAGUUCCUUACCAAAUGGUCAUUUGGGAGAUUUGUGCAAAGAAAACACUGAUGAUAUCCUCAUAGACAACCAAGGGGCCAAAGAUGGGUAUCAGCCGUUUGAGAAUGCCAAGCAUCCACCUGAGGAACCACCUGUGCUUAUUGAAAAUGUUGCUAAAACUGCUCCAUCGAAAGUUGGGAAUACCUCUGAACCAGUGGAAGCCGAGAAAAGUUCGGUCCCACUGAUUAAGCAAGAAGUAACUAUUGGAAAACUGCCAGUUUUGAAGCAUGUCUACUCUGGAAAGAAACGUGGAAGGGCACCCAAGACAGAAGAUAUGGGCUCUGAAGCUGCAUCCAAGAACCACAAUAGAGAGGCCUCCGAAACACCUUCUGCAAAGCAGAAAGCUGAGACAACACCCUGCGCUGAAAACGAGAAUGCUGGCUCAAAGAAGUCGAACUCUGGGAAUUCUUGUUCAGCUGCAGAGAAGCUGAAAAUUGGAAACUCAUCCUCAGCUGCAAAGGCGCAGAAAUCUGGAAACUCAUCCUCAGCUGCAAAGACUCCAAAAGCAGGAAACUCAUCCUCAGAUGGAAAUAAGCAGGCAGCUGGAAACUCAUCAUCAGCUGCAAAGAAGCCAAAAAUGGGGAACUCAUUCUCGGAUGGAAAGAAGCAGGCAGCUGGAAACUCAUUCACAGCUGCGAAGCCGAAAACAGGAAAGCCAUCCCCAGAUGGAAAGAAGCAGGCAGCUGGAAACUCGUCCGCACCUGCAAGGACGGAGAUGAGUGAAAACACCCACACCAAUCUUAGGAUUGAGAAGGCUAUCUUGGUGGAGGUGAACAGCAGGAGGAGUCAAAGGGUACGGAAGCCUAAGGUUUACUGA
rnacentral:rRNA from 1 species